UAUCAACUUUUGCUGACCUAUGUAGAU
rnacentral:piRNA from 1 species